rnacentral:rRNA from 1 species
CCUACGGGAGGCAGCAGUGAGGAAUAUUGGUCAAUGGGCGGGAGCCUGAACCAGCCAAGCCGCGUGAGGGAAGAAGGUACAGCGUAUCGUAAACCUCUUUUGUCAGGGAACAAAGUCGGGGACUAGUCCCCGGAUGAGGGUACCUGAAGAAAAAGCAUCGGCUAACUCCGUGCCAGCAGCCGCGGUAAUACGGAGGAUGCGAGCGUUAUCCGGAUUUAUUGGGUUUAAAGGGUGCGCAGGCGGCCUGUUAAGUCAGCGGUAAAAGCCUGGGGCUCAACCCCGGCGAGCCGUUGAAACUGGCGGGCUGGAGUGGGAGAGAAGUACGCGGAAUGCGCGGUGUAGCGGUGAAAUGCUUAGAUAUCGCGCAGAACCCCGAUUGCGAAGGCAGCGUACCGGGGUGCGACUGACGCUGAGGCUCGAAGGUGCGGGUAUCAAACAGGAUUAGAUACCCCUGUAGUC